rnacentral:rRNA from 1 species
GACGAACGCUGGCGGCGUGCUUAACACAUGCAAGUCGAACGAAGUGGCGAACGGGUGAGUAACGCGUAAUCAACCUGCCCUUCAGAGGGGGACAACAGUUGGAAACGACUGCUAAUACCGCAUACUGAAGGAGGGGAUUGCGUCUGAUUAGCUAGUUGGAGGGGUAACGGCCCACCAAGGCGAUGAUCAGCAGCCGUGCCGAGAGGAUGAGCCGCCACAGUGGGAAGUAGACCCGGCACAGACUCCUACGGGAGGCAGCAGUGCGGAAUCUUCCGCAAUGGAAGAAAGUCUGACUGAGGAACGCCGCGUGAGUGAUGACGGCCUUCGGGUUGUGAAGCUCUGUUAAUCGGGUCGCGGUACCGGAAUAGAAAGCCACGGCUAACUACGUGCCAGCAGCCGCGGUAAUUC